rnacentral:misc_RNA from 1 species
UCGGGUACGCCGUCACGAAUUCGCACCGUGUAGUUGACACACACGCAGCAGAAUAGCGUUUGCUCUCUUUUUUUCUCUUGUCGCUGAAUAAAAGAAGCGGAAAGAUGAACAGUACAGAUACAAAGCAGAGUGCCGGCUACUUUAAGGAAAAGGCGACGAUCGGCUUGAGCACCUUCAGUGGUGAUGAAAUAGUAAAGGCUAUUUUGAAGACUACCAGCCAUCUUCUGAAGGCACCAAAGGAAAAGUACAUGCAGAAGCUGCUGGCGGCUUCGUACGGGCAGUAUGGAUCUGGAUUGAGAGAGGGGCUUCCGCUCAAUGAGUUCAUUGUCCGCGAGCUGGAGAAGCGAUCUCACACGCACAACUGGAUUGUAGUGCUGAAGACGAUGGUCUCUUUUCAUCGGCUGAUGUGUGAUGCGUCGGACAAUAUGGUGGAAACGAUCUGCUGCUACAGACAUGUGUUUAAACCCUCAAAAAUCAAGAACCUGGCUGACACCGCCGACGGUGCUGGGCAAGCGUAUUUUAUUACUCAGUACAUGACCUAUCUGGAGGAGCGCUGUCUUAUGCAGAGUGCUCUCGGGAAGGGUCGGCGCAUUGAGAUUCGUGAGUUUGAGGAGUACCUGGAGACGCUGAAUUCAAACUCGCUGCGGCCGGUGUUUGAAAUUCUGCUUCGACUCUUCGAGGCGGUGCCAGAAGUCGAGUACCGUGAGGCUGUGGUGAACAACUUUUGCACCAUGGAGGCGUAUCAGCUGCUGAUCCGGGACGGAAAGCAACUCUUUCAGCACUUGGCGAAGCGUGUGAUCUUUGUACUCGAUGGAUUUGAGGAGUUUUCGCUGCCUGAGAAGCGGUGCUGGUUUGACCUGUACCGCAGAUAUGCCAGUGCAUUUGUUUCUGUCAAGCAGUACUUCGAUUCCAUUUUGUGUUCCUCGCGCGUUUUUCUGGAGCCAGUGCCGCAGUUAAAGCCGCUACCGGAGUCCUUGCUGACUCGUUUGGAGGGUGACAUACGCGCCAGUGAAAUGGCAAAGGAGCGACCGUGCACGCUGGAGAGCCUCGGUAUUUGCAGCAGCGAGGAUUCGCGCGUUGAUACAAAGGAUGAGAAGAUUCCACCGCCGCGCCCGCCAGAGCCGGCUGUGGUAAAGCAGCCGGAAGCUGUCACCUCUAGCACGCCAGCGGCACCGGCGUUUUCAUUGGAUGACCUUUUUGUGCCGAGCCAGGAGCCAACGAAGCCAGUGCAGCCUUCUUCCUGUCCUGCCUCUUGGACACCUGCACCACCGGCGGCCACGUCGUUCCAGCAGGGCUCCGAGCAAUUUCAGUGGGAAGCUGGCGUGCCGCAGAACUGGGGAUCUGGCGGCCCUACCACCCUCCGAUCAAACGUGUCGCCACCAGGGCCGUCGCCGCCGCAUGCUUUUUCAGGCGGUGCACCACCGCCUGCUGGAGAAGGUGCGCUGUACCCUCUGGUGCAAUCGCCGUCGAAGCAGCCGCCGCCACCGGUGCACUUCAAGAAGCCGGCGGAUCCGUUUAAGGACUUGUACGAUAGCUGCCACUUGGAAUCCAAGUAGUCACUGAUUUUCGAAGGAGAACGCUGUUUUUGGGAGUAUGCUCUCUCUGGAUGCCGUCCGUCGCCGCAGGCGUGUCGUGCUUGCUGUUUGACGCGGUUCUGCGGAAAUGCGAGAAAAGGGAUGCCAAGGGUUUCCUGUAUUACGGUCCUCAUUCUAUCAUCCUUUUCGACACUCUUCCGGGGUUCUUUUAUCUUGCUGUACUCUUGCGAAAAGUUACUGUUAUGAAGGAUAAAAUG